CCUACGGGGGGCAGCAGUGAGGAAUAUUGGUCAAUGGACGAGAGUCUGAACCAGCCAAGUAGCGUGAAGGAUGACUGCCCUAUUGGUUGUAAACUUCUUUUAUAUGGGAAUAAAAUGUUCCACGUGUGGGCUUUUGUAUGUACCAUAUGAAUAAGGAUCGGCUAACUCCGUGCCAGCAGCCGCGGUAAUACGGAGGAUCCGAGCGUUAUCCGGAUUUAUUGGGUUUAAAGGGAGCGUAGGUGGAUUGUUAAGUCAGUUGUGAAAGUUUGCGGCUCAACCGUAAAAUUGCAGUUGAAACUGGCAGUCUUGAGUACAGUAGAGGUGGGCGGAAUGCGUGGUGUAGCGGUGAAAUGCUUAGAUAUCACGAAGAACUCCGAUUGCGAAGGCAGCUCACUGGACUGCAACUGACACUGAGGCUCGAAAGUGUGGGUAUCAAACAGGAUUAGAUACCCGUGUAGUC
rnacentral:rRNA from 1 species